CCCUCCCCAAACUGCUGUGGAGAUCAGGUUGAGCUGCCCUACAGCUGAAUGGACUGCAGUGUGAGGGAUACAUCUGGAUUUAAAAAAAAAAUGUUGCCACAGUGUCUCAUCAUCUCCUGGUUAAAUGAUAAGUCUAUGAAGAAAAAAGUCUUCUGUGAAGGUAUGGAUCCUAUCUCCCCACUUGUUGGUGCAGGGCUCUACACUACCCAAGAAGUAGAAAAAAAAUGAGCAGGACUGACUCAGGCUCAGUAGGCCUG